CCAACAGUCCACGGCUUCGAGCUCAGUUUCUUCUUUGCUCGGAGUCAAAGAUCAGAACUGGAGGUCUUAGGGUUUCGGCAGAUCUGCGCCGCGUAGUGUAGAGAAAGAGAGAGCUGAGCAGUGGUGGUUGUGGUGGUGGUGACGUGGCCGUUGAUGGUAUUGCACGGAGGCGCGAGAGACAGUUGGAAGGUAGAUGAUGAACGGAGCUCCGGCGGGGGAUCGGAGAGGGUGGUGGCGUUACGGUAAUUUCUGUCACAUGGAAUGGCAGAUCUUGUUAGCUACGGGAAUGCCAACCGUGACAUCGACCAGGCAAUAAUUGCUUUGAAGGAGGGUGCUCAACUACUGAAAUAUGGUCGUAAGGGAAAGCCUAAGUUCUGUCCAUUUAGACUUUCUACUGCUGUCUUUCAACGAUAUUUACGUCCUGAAAAGGACUAUUUAUCAUUUUCUCUUCC